rnacentral:RNase_P_RNA from 1 species
GAAGUCGGUCGGGUGACCGCCGGUUCCGAUCCCGCAAGGGGCCGGGACGGGAGGAAAGUCCGGACUCCGCAGGGCAGGGUGCUGGGUAACGCCCAGGGAGGGCGACCUCACGGACAGUGCCACAGAAAAGACACCGCCUACGUCGGACCAUCGGCCGCAAGGCUUCGCGAAAGCGUAGCCGAACGGCCCCGUGGGUAAGGGUGAAAUGGUGCGGUAAGAGCGCACCAGCGGCAUGGUGACAUGUCGGCUUGGCAAACCCCACCCGGAGCAAGGCCAAAUAGGUCCCGGCCCAUCGCCGCUGCUCUCGAGCAGCGGCACGGAAGAGAGUGGCCCGCUCUCGUGCCCCUCGGGGCAGGCGGGACGGGUAGGCCGCUUGAGCCCGGCGGCAACGCCGGGCCUAGAGGAAUGGUCAUCCGGUCGGGCCGCGAGGUCCGGCUGUACAGAACCCGGCUUACAGACCGACUUCGGCC